UGAAUGAUUUAAAAUGAUAGUUUUCACGGAAUAAAGGCAUUGUGUCAUACAUUACAUAAAAUAAACAUAGUUCAUACCAAAUUAUUGCAGGAGAAAUUUGAGAAGCGUCAUUUGGAAUAUGUACAAUAUUCUGGACGGAUUACCCCUUAAUAUGUAAAUAAAUAAACGCGUAAAUAAAAAAUGUUAUGUUUCAAGGAAUAAAAUAUGUAUGAUAUGUAUCAGGUAACAAUUGUUAAAGAGCUAAGUAAAUAUUCAUUUUCAGACUUGGGUUGUGUCGAAUUUGCAGCAAGACUCUUGGAAGCGCCUCAGGGUUAAGCGAUCAUGAAAGAAAACAUACGGGGGUUGCGCCAUACAAAUGUUGUGGACGGAUGUUCUACAGCAAAGCUUAUUUAACAAGGCACAGGUACACAUCACAUACCGAAACUAAAGAUUAUGCCUGCGAGACAUGUGAGAGGUCUUUCGCAAUAAUGGCAGACCUAAGAGCGCACAUGACACACUCUCAAGAAGCGACGUUAAAAUGUGACACAUACGGACAUCAAAUGAAUACGAGAGACCAAUAUGAUGAUCACAUUGCUAUGCGUCUUGGGGCCAAGAAUCAUGCAUGCAAAUGCAGAAAGACAUACACUCACAAGCCGAAUGUGUAUAGGCAUCAGAAAUUUUGCAAACAUUAUAAAAAGGGAAAUACUAAUGCAGUUGCAAGUAAAAUUACGCCAUCAGCUUAAGAAAAAGCUUAAAGAAGUAAACGCUAAUUGUUUACCUUGAUUUUCAAGUUUUUGAUUGUGCAACAAACUUUAACCCAAUGUAUAGUAGUGAUUUAUUUCAAUUGAUCGUAUAGGUGCAAUUUGUACGCAGCCACAUCGCCAUGGUUAUCCUCAGGGAGAGUGAUACGCUUUACUGACCUUCUGUGUAUUAUUUUAUAUUAUUUUUUGAAGGUGAUUAUGGUGAUUUUGUUGUGAUAUUCCAACCUGUUCUCAUGAUGAACACUGUGAUUUAAUUUAAUUAUCUGUGCUAUUGCUGAUGUGUGAACACAUAAACGCAAAUCCAUGUUUCCUAUUAUCGUUUUGAAAUAAAUAAAUCAAGUUA